AAAUAUGUCUCCAUUUUCAUGCAUUUAAAUUUCUAAUUGUUUCUCGAUCCCUUGGAGAGCUUUUCUAGGUCAACUAAGUACUCACACUGUGCUACAUGUUCCAAGAGUUCAAGUUAGCCUUUUCUCUGUAAUCCUCAAAAAACAGAAUGCUACCACAUGCUCCUCAUUUAUACAAUCGUUAGAAAAGAUCCUAAGAAUAAUUUGAUUAUUUGACUGUCAAAUGCAAGCCCUUACAGUUGUAGAUGUCUGUUUAAUGAUGUUAUUCCUAGCUCCUUAACAUUUAAUAUUUGCCUCUUCUUGUACUUUAGUUUCUAAUCCAGAUUUAAUCCUGAAAAAAACUUUUUACAAGGUAACGAAUUGUUGAAAAUACAGUGACACAAUCACUGAUUCCUCACUUUCAAUUCAAAGAAAUGAUUAAAGGAAGAAAAAGAUGAAGGGAGAGCCACAGGAGUUGGAAUCGCUGUAUCAGCUCUUCGGAAACAGUAUCAAGUCCCAUUCAUGUCCCAUGACCUUAGAGGGUUUCGGUGAGAUUUAAUGCAGCAGGAAUGAGAUAGAAGAAAGAAAACAAUGGCUGACUCAGAACUACUCCAUCUGAUUUAGAUAAGAUUGAAGCAAAAUCCCAUGAAAAUGACCUUGUUUGUAAGAAUGAGGAAUGGAGGUGAGGUGGGACAGUAGCAAGGGCUCCAGGAGGAACCCCUUUAACCACUGAGCUCCCACCACUUUUUUAAGUAGCUGCCUGGAGGAGCUGAGGCUGAGCACUGCCUUUGCUUCGGGCUUUGGCUAAAACACUUGCCUGAAGCAGCAAGAAGACUGCGUGCUGUACCUCAAAUUCUUGCCAGGUGAACAGAAAAAAAAAAAAAAAAGAAAAAGAAAAGAAGAACAUCAGUUUAAGUCUGGCCUGGAAGGCACAUCAAAGGCAGAGGUGAACCUAAACUGCAGGCAGAAGAUCUUUCUCCUCACAUACCCAAGGGACUGGUCCCUUCCUUUGCCUCUAAUGCUGUAGAAUUCUUGAUUCAACAGCCCCUUCAACCAACCUCACAUCCUGGAGGACUCUAACUCUAUGUGACGAUGAGGAGUUUGAGGGACACCUACCCAGGUGAUUUUUGAGGAAAGCUGCAGUCCAGCGUUUCUCUUAUCAAAAAGAGAGGGAUAAUAAACCAAAAUAGACAUCAAAACAUAGGGAGUAGGUAUGACACAAAUGCCAAGAUUUAAGGGAAUUAUGUAAGAAUGGUGUUAUGGACCGAAUGUUGUAUCUCCCUAAAUUUCUAUGUUGAGAUCGUAACACCCAAUUCGAUGGUAUUAAGAAGUAAGACCUUUGGGAGGUAAUUAGAUCAUAAGAGUGGAGCUCUCAUCAUGGGACCAGUGCCAUUAUCAAAGAAACCCGGAGAGCUCUCUGACUCUACUCUUUUCCACCAAAUGCAGACACAUUGAGAAGACGGCCAUCUAUGAACCAAGAGGGAGGACAUCAGAUCAGCCACCAUUUCGAUCUUGAACUUCCCAGGCUCCAGAAAUAGCUAAAAUUCUAUAAGGGCGAGAAAGACCAUCAACAAUCAACAUAACAGAUAACUACAUUAUGUGAUAUUUUAGAAGUUGAUAGCCUCAUUAAAAAAAGAAAGAAACAGUAGAGCAGAGUAAGGAAGAUAAUAAGAAUCUAGUGGCCAGAAGAGGCAAAUUGUAGUAAUAAAUAAGAAGGUCCAGAUAGGACGCAUUGAGUCAGUGACAUUUGACCAAAAUUUUGAAAGAGAAGAAAUGUUUCACUAAUUGGAUAUCUGCGAGCGGAGCAUUCCAGGCAGAGGGGACUGCAAGAGCAAAGGCGGUUGCUCAGGAGCCUGCUUGCGGAGACAUCAGGAGCAACGUUAGCAAGAAAAAGGAGGAAAGGUAACUGGCACAAGAUCAUGGGGCCCGUGUAAGCCAUCAGUUGUUAAAGCAGUGAAUAUUAUUGCUGAAAUAACUGAAGAAAAGUUACUGAUUCCUAUCUAGGACAAAGAUGGAUAAUUAUGAAUGCCCUGCCUUACUGAUAAUCCUUCAACAUGAAAUCCAGAACCUGAGUUAUUACAAAUUUUAUAAAUUUUCACUUUGUUAUAAAAGAAAGCAUACAGUCUACAUUUUGCCUUAUUUGAUAAAUAAUAGAUUCAUAUCAAACACUUCAUAAAAUUUCUGUUAAAACCAAAUUACAAAACAUUCUGGGAAUAGAUUAGUGCCGAAGUAAAUAGACUUCACUUAUCCCAAUCUCUUUCUUUGUCUUCCUCAUUCUAUUUAACAAAACUACCAAAAGGAUGUACAAAGACUGAUGAUUUUUAAUAAAAAUUAGAAUAAAUAACAACAUGCUAAAAAUGUAAAAAUAUUUUCUGAAAGCAUAUAUGCAGAUGAGUCUAGAGAGUGGGUCUGAGGGCAUUAAUUUACAGGAAGAGAAAUCACUGUCCUGUAGGCAUAUUUCUGUAUUGCAUGGGACUAUGAGAGCUUAAUAACAAGACCCUCAGUUGGGUGGAGGGUGGGGUGGUGUCUACAGAAAGCACAAAUAACGCUGUUAUUGAAGGGUAAGAAGCAGUAGUACAACUCACCUAGAUAAAGCCCACUCUGGAAGUUUUUAAAAUGGGGAAUUAAAAUAAACAAUUUACAGAAAAAUUAGAAAUAAACUGACAGUCAGUCACUCUGGCAUUCAAGGAAGUAUAAAUUGGCCAGAAGUGGUGGCUCAUGCCUGUAAUCCCAGCACUUUGGGAAGCCAAGGUGGGCGGAUUACCUGAGGUCAGGAGUUUGAGACCAGCCUGGCCAACAUGGUGAAACCCCAUCUCUACUAAAACUACAAAAUUUAGCCCAGCAUCGUGGCUGACGCCUGUUACCCCAGCUACUCGGGAGGCUGAGGCAAGAGAAUCCCUUGAACCCAGGAGGCAGAGGUUGCAGUGAGCCAAGAUUGCGCCUUUGCACUCCAGCCUAGGUGACAGAGUGAGACUUCGUCUCAGAAAAAGAGAGAGAGAGAGAUAAAAAAAAGUAUAAAUUUUGAAAAAAGAAGGGUAUUUUUAUCAGUUAUAUAUUUUUAGUUAAUUUUAUAUUGGAUAUAAUAUCCACUAUGGUUGAAGUGCCUGUUAAGAAGGUCUCUCAUAUAUGUAAAUAUCAAAACAAACCAUGUACUGCUAAGGAAUAAUUAGCCUACAUGGAUAAACAUUAUCAAUAUACAUAGACCUUAAUCUCAGAUAUGUGAUUUCUAGGAAUCUCAAUUAAAGAAUUUAAUCCUGCUUUGUGUUUAAAAUUUUGUCUACAAGAGCCACUUUAAUAGGAAAAAGAAGAAAACAAUCUAAAUGUUUAACUGAUAUUUGUUAAUGGUUAAAAUAAAUUACUGCUUAUUUAUCAGUAAAAUGUUUUAUUGCCAUUAAAAAUAGCUUAUAUUAAAUGACUUGAAAAUAUUUUCUUUCCCUUAUAUGUCAUUAAGCUAAAUAUGUGCUAUGAACCUGUAUGGUGUUUUGUAAAAAAGAAAAAAAAGCCUACUGAAACAAAGAUACACAACAAGAUUUUGAAUAUUGGUAAUAUUUUGUGUGACUUUUACUUAUUUGUUUUCUUGCUUUUCUGUUUCCUCCCCUCUAAGUUUUCAAAAACAAACAUGUAUUUCUUCUGUCGCAAAAAAAAAUAAAAGAAAAAUUUACAACAAUGGUUUAUCAAUUUACUAACAAAAUAAAUUUCUCUCUUAAUGUUCUAGUAUUAAAUAUUUUCAUUAUUUUUUAAAACACAUUCAAAAGUACAGUUGACCCUUGAACAACAUAGGUUUGAACUACACCAAUUUUCUUCCAUGCCUGCCACCCUUGAGACAGCAAUACCAACCCCUCCUCUUCUUCCUCCUUCUCCUUGGCCAACUCAACAUGAAGAUAACAAGGAUGAAAACCUUUAUGAUAAUGUACUUCUGCUUAAUGGAUAAUAAAGAUAUUUUCUCUUGCUUAUGAUUUUCUUAAUAAUAUUUCCUUUUCUCUAGAUACCUUGUUGUAAAAACACA
rnacentral:lncRNA from 10 species